UCCUAGAUAUUGUCCCUCGACUCAGUCCUAGGUUCUGUUUCUUUAUUAGAUCUCAUUCCCAGAUUACUGAAAUGUCAGGCCUGGAAUGAUUCAAACUUUAGCCAGUAUCAAAAAUUCUAGAAUGACAAGACAAUGUCAUGGUAUUAUGUUAUGAUGUUAUAUUUAUGGCAUAACUUAAUUAUAGGUACUAGCAAACAGGUGUGGAAAGUAUUUGAAGAGAAGUUUCCCUGUCAUACAUAUGAAAAUACAAUUUUAAAACUCCUCUUUAGUCAAGAAUAAACUUGGGAUGGUUGCCCUGACUCAGGUCACAGGGAGCCUCAGUUAUACCUCAAGAUCCAGUGUGAUCCAAGAGACAGUAUUUAGAGUAUAAAGCCAGCAGGAUAGUCUAAAUAUGGGAUGAUGACUGUCAGCCCGAUUUGUAUUCUCGGAGAACACAGUGCACAUCAUUUCAGAAUUACAAACUUGUGAAAUGGAACAAUACCUGCUAACUGCUUCAGGAAUCGUAAACCACAAUCUGAGGUAAAUUGCCCAAGCAGCAAUAAUGAGAUUUUUUAUGGAUGCUGAAGCAAAAAAACUUCUGAGCCUGUGUUUGCACUCAGUGAUAUGUAUAUUUUUGGGGACAUUUCUGAUGAGUUAGAUCACAUUUGCAUGUCAGAGUUGCAGUUUUUGCAUACAGCACAGGUGAGUUCACAGCUGAUUUUUUAGACAUUUAUUGCAAGUAUUAUGUCACUUUAUAACCACAGCUCUUUCAGCUGAAAUCCAGUUUAUACAUAUUCAGUGUACAUUUCUCUUUUUCAUUUAGGAGUCCCCCGAAUUGGAAUUGGAACUCUGUGUGUGUAUGUGUGUGAGUAAUUUUUAGCUAAAUACAAAGAGAAUGUCUUUCAAUAUAUUUCAUGUGACUAGGUACACUAAAGGCGCAGGAAAGGGUUACCUAGUGGAGGCUUGAGGCCAGGUAAUGAUGUGCUGCCAGGAAGCGUCAGUGUUUCAGUUUACGUGGUAAUUCCAUUUUCAGGUGGGGCACCAAAAUGGGGAUUGCUUUCCUAGUAAAAGGCUUGGAUUAUAGUUUCACUCAUCAAUAAUGUGAGUACUGAAUAAUAAGAAAUUGGUGAUUUUGCCAGGAGUUGGGAGAAAAUAAGCACCAUUAGAAAUGCAAUGGACUGUUUUUAAUGAGCAAGUUGAGCAAGUACAUCAUUACAGGUGGAAAACAAGGACCCUGAUCUUCAUAAGGUGGAAACAUCAUGAAACACAAGAGGAAUCAGAAGGAUGGGGAUGAUGCACAAAGAGAGAGGAUACAGGCAGCAUCUGCGUCCCAACAGAGACUGAGCUUUCCUCUGUGACACGCGCUCCACUGUGUACCAUUCAGGGUAGUCUGUGUAUUAAGUAGCCAUUUAGUAAAUAUAUAUAUUUAGUUAAGUAUA